CCCCCCCAUUUCUCCCCACAGAAGGCCCUGCAGCGCGUGGUGAGCGGCGGCUUCCCGGGCUGGGCCGGGGGCGAAGACGCCGCGAGGAAGAGGAUGGCGCGGCAGCGAUGGUGCUGGGGACCCCGCGCUGAGGGCGGCCCGGCGUGGGAGGCGGCGGCCGGGCUGGCGGGCGCCCUGGACCAGCUGCAGCAGAGCUGCGUGGCCUCGCUGCGGGCGCAGCUCCUCCUGGGCACCGCCGCGGGGGGGGUGAGCGCCGGGGCCUCU